GAUGAACGCUAGCGGCAGGCCUAAUACAUGCAAGUCGAACGGGAACAUGAGUAGCAAUACUUGAUGACGAGUGGCGCACGGGUGCGUAACACGUAUGUAAUCUUCCCACAACUGGGGGAUAGCCCGGAGAAAUCCGGAUUAAUACCCCAUAACCCAGCGAGGUGGCAUCACCUUUCUGGUAAAUCUCCGGAGGUUGUGGAUGAACAUGCGUCCGAUUAGCUAGUUGGCGGGGUAACGGCCCACCAAGGCUACGAUCGGUAGGGGUACUGAGAGGUUCAACCCCCACACUGGUACUGAGACACGGACCAGACUCCUACGGGAGGCAGCAGUAAGGAAUAUUGGACAAUGGAGGCAACUCUGAUCCAGCCAUGCCGCGUGAAGGAUGAAGGCGCUAUGCGUUGUAACCUUCUUUUGAACGGGAAAAAACCCCUUUACGUGUAAAGGGUUGAUUGUACCGUUAGAAUAAGGGUCGGCUAACUUCGUGCCAGCCGCCGCCGUAACAC
rnacentral:rRNA from 1 species